GUGUUGUCUGAGCUACAAGCAACGAAUUAAAACUUUCAACAACGGAUCUCUUGGUUCUGGCAUCGAUGAAGAACGCAGCGAAAUGCGAUAAGUAGUGUGAAUUGCAGAAUUCAGUGAAUCAUCGAAUCUUUGAACGCACAUUGCGCCCCUUGGUAUCCCGAGGGGCAUGCCUGUUCGAGCGUCAUUUCACCAUUCAAGCCUGGCUUGGUGUUGGGCGACGUCCCCUUUGGGGACGCGCUUCGAAAUGCUCGGCGGCGUGGCACCGGCUUUAAGCGUAGCAGAAUCUUUCGCUUUGAAAGUCGGGGCCCCGUCUGCCGGAAGACCUACUCAAGGUUGACCUCGGAUCAGGUAGGGAUACCCGCUGAACUUAA
rnacentral:misc_RNA from 1 species